ensembl:miRNA
GAUGGACCCGUCCUCCGGUGCCUACUGAGCUGAUAUCAGUUCUGAUUUUACAUACUGGCUCAGUUCAGCAGGAACAGGAGUCGAGCCCUA